ACGUAUAGAAGGAGCUUAAUGCACCCAGCUGUCCUAUUUUAUACAUAACACAUGUUACAAUGAGUUUUGAGUUAAAACCUAAGCUUUCUACAGCUAAUGUAGGGAAGGGGCAGCAAGGAAGGGGACCAAAUGGAGGUUCAAACAAUUUUCACCAUCAACGUCCAUAUAAAAGUUCAGCUCUACCCCUGAAGCAGUCCUCCAUCUUCACAUCAACUAAUACUGCCAUUUUCAUAUCGUCCCUUCUACUUGUUUUUCUCUUUGUACUUCAAUGAAAAUGUGAAAUAUGUGCAGCCAAGUGCAAGGGCUGACUUCCAGGUACAUAGCCACACACAUCAUGUCCGAGAAAAGUGUCCUUUUCACGUAAGAAAAGGUGUAAUUGUUGGGCCCAACUCUAUUUGGUAUAUAUACAUGAAAAUGCAGUAUUUUGAGGACUUUUGAUAUAAUUUAGUUCUAAGGAAGUUAAGG
rnacentral:lncRNA from 1 species